rnacentral:rRNA from 1 species
CCUACGGGAGGCAGCAGUAGGGAAUCUUCCACAAUGGGCGAAAGCCUGAUGGAGCAACGCCGCGUGGGUGAAGAAGGUCUUCGGAUCGUAAAACCCUGUUGUUAGAGAAGAAAGUGCGUGAGAGUAACUGUUCACGUUUCGACGGUAUCUAACCAGAAAGCGACGGCUAACUACGUGCCAGCAGCCGCGGUAAUACGUAGGUGGCAAGCGUUAUCCGGAUUUUUUGGGCGUAAAGGGAACGCAGGUGGUCUUGUAAGUCUGAUGUGAAAGCGUUCGGCUUAACCGGAGUAGUGCAUUGGAAACUGGGAGACUUGAGUGCAGAAGAGGAGAGUGGAACUCCAUGUGUAGCGGUGAAAUGCGUAGAUAUAUGGAAGAACACCAGUGGCGAAAGCGGCUCUCUGGUCUGUAACUGACGCUGAGGUUCGAAAGCGUGGGUAGCAAACAGGAUUAGAUACCCGGGUAGUC